AUGUCCGAAAAAAACAAGCAACGAUGGACAACUACAUGGGGAACAAGACACUCACCCCCAGCAAUGCAUACCACUUACAAACUCUAUUCUAGAUUCUACAUUAUUUUUUAUGGAAUUUACCUCUUAUAUUUUGAUGCCAAAAAAUUAUUCUGGACUGAUAUUUUGCACUGUUUAGCUCAUUUUACACCGCUGACUGUGUUCAUGUGCAAUAAAAUAGAUUGCAGUCAACUGCACAAUUCUCUUAUGUUUUUCUUUUUCUUAACUGAAAUGUAUUCAUCACUUGUAUAGGUUAAAUAGCUAAACAAUAACAAACCGAUUAAUCGAUUAAUCGAAAAAAUAAUCGACAGAUUAAUCGAUUAUGAAAAUAAUCGUUAGUUGCAGCCCUAACUAAAACACAGUAAAACAGCUGUAUAAUAAAAUGCAGAAAUACAACAUUUAAAAGGCAGUAGAAGAUUUUAAAAGCCAUUAAACAAAAAUGAUUAGAACAUUAAAAACAUGAAUGCAAAAGCUAAGAACUACACCUAAGAUGAACCUUCAGCAUUGCUUAAAAAAUGGGCAGUGAUGUAGACCGUUUUAUUUCUAGUGGGAGUUGGUUCUAAAUCAUUCCCUGUCCUUUCGCUUUCUCCGCGUAACCACCAGGACGUCACUCUGAUCCGAACGCAAUGAUCUCCAGGGACAUAACGGGUCAGCAGUGAGGCUAAAUAUGGUGGGGCAGUUCCAGACAAAGAGUUAAGAACAAAGACCAGGAUCUUGAUUUAGAUAGUGUUUCACUGGUAACCAGUCCAAAUCAGUCAGGAGGGCAGUGACAUGCUCCCAUUUCUGUGCUCCAUAAAGGUUUCUGGUCAAGAAUCACUGAAAACACCUUGACAGAAAUAGCUUCAGGUGUUAAAAAGUCUGUACUGUUGCUUUAAAGUUCUGCUGCUGAAGGAUUGAAAUGGACAAACUAAAGAGAGUUCUGAAUCCUCGUGAACCCCCCCCCCCCCCCCAGGAAGACACGUUACAGAGAGAUUCUCCUCCAAUGCUGACAGAAAGAUGGCCGCUGAGAAUCAACAUGCGUGAAAUGAUGGAGGAGGUGUGUGAAAGACUGUGAGUGGAGGAGACGGUUCAACCUAAAUGUCAAAGACGCCUCCCAAGUCUGUGGAAAUGGAAGGCUGUUGAUUGUGUGGGACUGUGCCAGGUGAUUAGCGCUCACCAGGGAUCUGAAGUGUGACUUGAGACAUGUCCUGUAAGGAGCUGUGGAUACGAGGUAUAGCAGACCGCUGUGCAAUUUUGUGGAGGCAGGUUUGCUAUGGCUGCAUGGUUAUCCAGUUCUGAUGCUGCAGCAUGACAGAAAUGUUGGUCCUGUCUGGGUGGGAGUAAGAGCCUUAACCUCCUUUUUGGUUUGAGCCAUUAAUCGACUGAAUCUUCCUCCAGUGUGGCUCCCUCUCCCUGUUGGCUUCGCUGUAAUGCGUUGUAGCAAAGCCAAUUAUACAUUUUACAAGCAUUCAGCAGCUACAAAAGCACUCUGUCUGCUGUUCUCGCUCUCAUGUUCGCCUGUCCUGCUCCCUCUUCUCCCUCUUCAGCUCCUCUUUCUGCAGUGUGAUCUUUGCCGUAGCGUUUUCAGUCCUCUCUGGGAUGGAGGCUGCAGUUCGUGACUGGUGUGGGAGAGGAAAGUGCAGCUGAGGGGGUUCUGCUUCGACACAGCUAGUGCUUUGUCUGGACUCUGACUUUCUGAUCAACACUGGCUGCUUUGUUCUCACACUUGACAGCAAUAUGUGGUCAGAUCAGCAGAAAGAAAGCUCUCUGUGGAGAAAAUGGACUCUUUUGGGUCUGUGUGUGUAUUCUGUCAGUCUAUUUUGGACCAGACAUAAAUAAAGAACAUUGAAAAGUGGAAUUAUCCCUAGGUGCUCAGAUGAAAAUCAUAACAGAUCAUGGUCUUUUCUCAUUUAAACCAACAAAGUAAAGAUGAUCUCUACAGUAUUAUUUUGGUCUGUUCAUCGAACACUAAAGUCAGCAUCUCACUGUAACCGCUGAGCAACAAAUUCCAUCUGGGAUUCUUGAGGGUUUCCUAAAAGUGUUUCUAAAGGUUCUGAAUUUCCUUGAGUGAGUUGCAAUGCCACACUCUUCAUGUUGCAUAAAGACUCUUCAUGAAGGCUUUUUGGCAAUUUUUUUUUCUCUAAAUCUUCACUCAGUUGUAAAUUUCAGACCUGUCUAAUGUCUUGUUAAGAAGCUUUAUUCAUGCUAACAGGUCCUCCAUGUGGAGUUUUUGCUUCUUUUCAGGGUAAUCUAAAACUUUAACAGUUUAUUGUUCUGGUAAGAAUUUUGAGAAAAAUCAGAAUUGGUCCAAAUCAGAGCCGAUGGUUAAAAGUUAAAGUUAAAGUCCCAUUAGUUGUCACACACACUGAUGUGUGUGCAAAAUUUGUUCUCCGCAUUUGACCCAUCCCCUGGGGGAGCGGUGAGCUGCAGACACAGCCGCGCUCGGGAAC
ensembl:lncRNA